GCGAACGCUGGCGGCAUGGCUAAAGCAUGCAAGUCGAACGGUUAAAGCCCCUUCGGGGGUGUAUAAAGUGGCGAAAGGGCGAGGAAUUCGUUUCCACGUACCCCGAGGUCGAGGAUAGCCCAGGGAAACCUGGAGUAAUACUCGAUGUGGUCCUUCGGGAUCAAAGGCUUCGGUCGCCUUGGGAGCGGGGAACGCCCUAUCAGGUUGUUGGUGAGGUAACGGCUCACCAAGCCGAAGACGGGUAGCGGGUGUGAGAGCACGAUCCGCCGCAUCGGGACUGAGACACUGCCCGGACUCCUACGGGAGGCUGCAGCAACGAAUCUUCCGCAAUGCGCGAAAGCGUGACGGAGCAAUGCCGCGUGCAGGAUGAAGCCCUUCGGGGUGUAAACUGCUGUCAGGGUUUAGCAACACAAUGAGCAGACCCAAAGGAAGGGCCGACUAACUUCGUG
rnacentral:rRNA from 1 species